AGAGCGAACGCUGGCGGCAUGCUUAACACAUGCAAGUCGCACGGGCAGCAAUGUCAGUGGCGGACGGGUGAGUAACGCGUAGGUAUCUAUCCUUGGGUGGGGGACAACGGCUGGAAACGGCUGCUAAUACCGCAUGAUAACUGAGGUUUAAAGGCGCAAGUCGCCUGGGGAGGAGCCUGCGUACGAUUAGCUAGUUGGUGGGGUAAAGGCCUACCAAGGCAACGAUCGUUAGCUGGUCUGAGAGGAUGAUCAGCCACAUUGGGACUGAGACACGGCCCAAACUCCUACGGGAGGCAGCAGUGGGGAAUAUUGGACAAUGGGCGAAAGCCUGAUCCAGCAAUGCCGCGUGUGUGAAGAAGGUCUUCGGAUUGUAAAGCACUUUUAGUGGGGACAAAAAGCUACGGAUUAAUACUCUGUGGUCUUGAUUUAACCCAAAGAAAAGCACCGGCUAACUCUGCGCCAGCAGCCGCGGU
rnacentral:rRNA from 1 species